AUUGAACGCUGGCGGCAGGCCUAACACAUGCAAGUCGAGCGGAGCGGCGGACGGGGAAGUAAUGCCUAGGAAUCUGCCUGGUAGUGGGGGAUAACGACCGGAAACGGGCGCUAAUACCGAAUACUAUCACAAGAACCUAGGUCGGAUUAGGUAGUUGGUGGGGUAAAGGCAUACCAAGGCGACGAUCCGUAACUGGUCUGAGAGGAUGAUCAGCCACACUGGAACUGAGACACGGUCCAGACUCCUACGGGAGGCAGCAGUGGGGAAUAUUGGACAAUGGGCGAAAGCCUGAUCCAGCCAUGCCGCGUGUAUGAAGAAGGUCUUCGGUUUGUAAAGCACUUUAAGUUGGGAGGCGUUACCAACAGAAUAAGCACCGGCUAACUUCGUGCCAGCAGCCGCGGUAAUAC
rnacentral:rRNA from 1 species